rnacentral:rRNA from 1 species
UACGGAGGGGGCUAGCGUUGUUCGGAAUUACUGGGCGUAAAGCGCACGUAGGCGGCUUUGCAAGUUAGAGGUGAAAGCCCGGGGCUCAACUCCGGAAUUGCCUUUAAAACUGCAUCGCUAGAAUUGUGGAGAGGUAAGUGGAAUUGCGAGUGUAGAGGUGAAAUUCGUAGAUAUUCGCAAGAACACCAGUGGCGAAGGCGGCUCACUGGCUCGAUACUGACGCUGAGGUGCGAAAGCGUGGGGAGCAAACAGG